GCGUUUGAGGCUGAGCCAAAUCAGAAAAAGAAAAAAAUUGUUGAGUCUGACUCUGAAGAUGAAUCAGGUGAUGAUGACAAUGGAAAGUCAUCAAACCAAAAAAAGAAAACGAAGGGUAGGAGGUGGUCAGAAGUGUGGAAGCUUUGAUAUGUAGUCGUAAUUGGUUGAAAGGAUUUUAAGCAUAUAAAAAUGGUAAACAAAUUCUUAUCAUAACUUUACACUUAUUUCAUCAUGACUUAUUAGGUUCACUAACUUAAUUCAAUCACAUAUGUAGAAGGGGAAGAAGAAUCUGAUGAUGAAGAUGAG
rnacentral:lncRNA from 1 species